AAAAGGUGGCUACACUACCGCUUUUGGAUGGGCCCGCGGCGCAUUAGCUAGUUGGUAGGGUAAAGGCUUACCAAGGCAAUGAUGCGUAGCCGAAUUGAGAGGUUGAUCGGCCACAUUGGGACUGAGACACGGCCCAAACUCCUACGGGAGGCAGCAGUAGGGAAUCUUCCACAAUGGGCGAAAGCCUGAUGGAGCAACGCCGCGUGGGUGAAGAAGGUCUUCGGAUCGUAAAACCCUGUUGUUAGAGAAGAAAGUGCGUGAGAGUAACUGUUCACGUUUCGACGGUAUCUAACCAGAAAGCCACGGCUAACUACGUGCCAGCAGCCGCGGUAAUACGUAGGUGGCAAGCGUUAUCCGGAUUUAUUGGGCGUAAAGGGAACGCAGGCGGUCUUUUAAGUCUGAUGUGAAAGCCUUCGGCUUAACCGGAGUAGUGCAUUGGAAACUGGGAGACUUGAGUGCAGAAGAGGAGAGUGGAACUCCAUGUGUAGCGGUGAAAUGCGUAGAUAUAUGGAAGAACACCAGUGGCGAAAGCGGCUCUCUGGUCUGUAACUGACGCUGAGGUUCGAAAGCGUGGGUAGCAAACAGGAUUAGAUACCCUGGUAGUCCACGCCGUAAACGAUGAAUGCUAAGUGUUGGAGGGUUUCCGCCCUUCA
rnacentral:rRNA from 1 species